UGGUCAUGAGAGCCGGCUUUGGAGCAUCUAGUUGUCUCUAUCACUUCUUAGCUCAAUGAUGAUGAGUUAUUAUUAACCAUCCCUCAACCUCAAUUUCCUCAACUGUAAAAUGAGGAUAUUAAUAUAUAUCCCCCACAUAGCAUUGAUCUGAGAUUAAACAGUAUGUAUAAAGCACUUCACUUUUGUCUUUUGCCUUGUACAUGUUCAGUGAAACUUAGCCACUGAACUUCCUGUUCAUAAUGUUAAAUUACCUCGGUGUAUCAUUUUUCUAGAACAGGAUAAAGGAUGGCUUCUUGUCAGAGGUAACAGAAGACAUUAGAAGAAUUCAGAGUCAAAAAAGGCCAAGGACCUGGAGUACUGGGAUUCUAGACAGAGCCUCAAGCCUGGGGUACAUAGCAUGAACUGAGGUCACAGCGGGCUGGGUGGCAUGGCCAAAUGACUCAAUAGUGAAGUGAUGACUAAUCAUUGUAGUGCUCCUUAUAUCUCUCCCCCUAUAUCCCACCACAGUCACCACAAAGGCCAGAGCUGGUCCUAGAGUCUGGCAAAAGGCUGAGCAUGCAACUUCCAAUGGUGCCAGGCUUCCAGCAGGAGGAAUAGAGGCUGUGGUAAAGGAAACCGUUGGUAAACGAAAGAAACCAGAAACUGUCACUACCCAUAACAACGAAACAACAAAAAAAUUUACAGAAAAGGAAGGGGAGACAAAGGAAAUUGUUUAAAGUGGUUGAAGCCUGUACAGACUGAUGUGAUCAUUAGGCGUGAGGGUGCCGCAGCAUGGUGGUGCCUAAGACACUGACUCCAAUUUUCCAGUGAGAACAGGAAGGCUUUAAGCACCAAAGCCAUGCUGGUAAUACUGCUGAGCAAGAAAGCUUUUCUUGAAGGAAGAGAAUAGCGUUUAAUUGAGACUAUUUUUGUCAGUCUCCUAACAUGCUCCUCAGACCACUAAUAUGCAAAAGAACCUAAGGAUCUGGUCACCAAGUUACGUCAAAAGAGUUUACCCCGUAGUCCUUUUUACUGCCUUUUGCAGAACAAAUGUUUAAUAAUGUCACUAUUGUUCAUUGGUUAUCAAGAAAUAACUCAUUGUAACUGAGAAGUGCUUAGCAAAGAAUCUAUCUCAUGUGUACGUUUUUUAUUUCAAGAACUUUAAGGAGGCAGGUUUUCUACGUGUGUUCACCAAAGCUCCAAGAUUGUUUUUUAGUAUUUUGAGAAAAUAUUUUCAGUAAAUCUGUAUUCAUUGAAUGAAAGAUUAAGUGGAUCCAUAAAGAAGCAGAUGAUAUAAGUCCCAGGGUAACAUCAAGAGAAUCUGAAUACGGUGUAGCUGAAGCAUUUCAUCACCCCUCAACAAGAAAAUUGCUAUUUUGCCAACUAUUCUACCACAUUGCAGUGUUUCUAAGAUCUACAUUUUUUUCACAUUUAUUUCUAAAAAUCAAAAUGUGAAUUGCAGUCAAUUGAUGACAUCUUAGAUCUGAUGAGAUAUGGUGGUUCUCCUAGAAAAGCAAAAGUUAGUAAUUUUCAGCAUAUCAUUGGCAUCCAACGUUUAACUCUGGGGGGGUCAAAAGACAUCUUCAAGCACUAGUGAAGAAGACAUAUUUAAUUUGUGGACAUUUUUAUUAUAAUUUGGUAGGUAAGUGAUGUUCCUUCAAGGCAUUCAAGGAACCCACUCUGGAAUAGACUAAAGAGACUCUGAGUCAGUUAGUGUUGCCCACGAGGGUCACAGCCGGUCAAUGGCAGACCUGGACUGAGGUUCAUGCCCAGUCUGGAGGGUCAACACAGGGUGUGUUGUCCUGCUGCCUGUCAGAGCAGGCACAAAGCAAGACUCAGUGAGGCAGACCCCAAUUUGCUCUGAAGCAUCCUUCUAUCUGGGCAUUGGCAGAACUCCCAAAUGAGUGGGUAAAGGUACCAAAAAAGUUCAGCCUCAAAUGAGUGGGUCAGUAAGACAUGAGACAGUAAAACGUUGUUCAGUUGUGGGACAUGGGAUUGGCUUGGCAGAGUCACUCUGCUCCAUGCUCAGCCUGCAGCCUCCUCCCUGGUAUCAAGGCCUUCCUACUUCCAGGUUCAUCUUUUGAAAUACAUCAUUUAUUUUCAAAAUAUACUGAUGUUAAUAAAAAUAAUGCCAAAGAUAUACUAAAAGUUUAUUUUCUAUAUCUUUUGGCAAAUUUAUAAAUUUCCAUAUAAAGAAAAUGAAAAUGUCUUUUAAAUUUUUUAGCAUGCAAAACCACAGUAAUCCAAAGUAUACAUUUGUUAUGAGCUAAAAUUAUACCAUCUGAAGGUGCAUUUUAUGAGCAAUGCAUACAAUGUCUACUAACAAAUUAUACCAACAUGUAAUUUGUAAUAUGUUAAAUACUUUUACUCAUAAUGCUUUGUAAGCUUUAAAGGGCCCUACUUAAUUAGAUGAGAUAAAUGAACACAGUACAAACUUCAUUUUUUUUAAUGCCUUUCAGCAAGUGAUCAAAUUUUGAAAUUUAUCUCAGCGUUCUCUUUUUUUCUGCUUCCCCAAAACAUGGUAAUCACCUUGUAUGUAUACCAUUGGCCUUGUCGUUGGCUGUUAUUGCAUAGUAGAUGUUAGAGUUUUUAAGUUUGAUAUUUGAUCUUGACUUAACCUAAGUCUCAGUUUCUUCCUUUGAAAUGAGGAUAAUGAUAUUUACCUAGCAGAGUGUUAUUAGUAGUAAAUGAGACAACAUAUGUAAAACAAAGCAAAGCAGCCCCUUUCCUGUAAUAAGUGUUCAGUAAAUUGAAUUUAUUAUUAUUAUUGGCUGUUGAUGUUGCAGAAAAGUUAUUUACUCAACACUUUUUAGGUCACACUGGUUUUUAUCUACUUAAUUUCUUAAAAAUAAGGAUCUUAAGGUGAAAUUCUCUUACAUAUUUCCUUAAAAUUCAUUCAGGAUUUUUAUCUAGCCAAAAGUGGUUCAGAAGUUAUUUUAUAGUUUGAAAGAAUCUAAAUUUCAUUUUCAAGGAAAAUGUGUCCCUCAGUUAUAAUGCCAAGACUACGAGUGAUGAUCAAGAAGUCUAACUGGUCAGUAAUUAAACUUUAUAUUGGAAGUAGACAUUUAUUUGCUUAAUAUUCCAAAAUCUGACUAAAUUGUUUUCUAAAUUCAAAAGGAGUUUUUGAGUAAAACAGUCAGUUGCUAUUUAACCCGUAGGUCUGUAAAACCUGACAGCCCUCUGUGGCCACAUAGUCUUAAGUACAGUAUAGAAGAAAUACCUCCCGAGGCUUUUGUUUUAUGUCUACAUAUUCAUCUCUUUCUAAAACCGUAAGUGUAGCAACAUAUGGCUGCAUUUUUAACAACUUUUAUUGUACUUUCAUAUUAAAAAGUAAUAUACUAGCAAAAUUUUUGAAGUUUUCAUUUAGGAAAAUACAAACAAUCGGGCUGGGUGCAGUGGCUCACACACCUAAAUCCCAGCACUUUGGGAGGCCGAGGUGGGCAGAUCACCUGAGGUCAGGAGUUCAAGACCAGCCUGGCUAACAUGGUAAUACCCCAUCUCUACUAAAAAUACAAAAA